ensembl:lncRNA
CUCGGCCACACACGCGGACCGACGAGGCGCACACACGUACCGACCGACAGCAGACAGACGAGCUUGGGCGGGAUCCGGUGUGUUGGGGGCGGCACCUGCGGCCGGGUGUAGUGGGAGCUGCAGAGACCCGCCCGCGGUGCCCUUUGGGGCUGGGCGGCGCGGCUGCCUAUCCCUGCCUACUCCGGCGAGUUACCUGCGGCCCGGAGAGGCCACGUGAUCAGGACGGCCCAGGGAACCCCGCGGGAGGGCCAAAACCCUGCCCAGGAGGCAAGAGCUCACUUCUGCCGAGGCGUGCGCUCGCCGGCUGGAGUCCCACCUCUUGCUGCAGUCCGGCGAGACUCCUGGGACAAAUCCAUUCUUUCUCCUACUUCCUCUCUAGCAGGCACUCUGAGUCCUCCGCAAAAGAAUGUGCAGGAUCAGAGGCCUCUUUCCAUUCUGCAAGGGUCACGCAAGACCCAUGGAAUUCAACAGGAGGCAAUCUAGGGACUAUAAAAGGUCGCGACGUCUGGCUUGAGGUUAAUGGAAGUUACAAAGGGUCAAAAGCCGACAGUGAGCGCUACCAGGCCGCCCUGUGGGCUCAGGAUAGUUUCCCACCUACUCGACUGUAAUUAGUACUCUGGCGAGAGUAAAAAGGUACUGGCGUGGGACUUAGAAUACAGGAUGCCACCGGCUGAAGAAGAACCUUGUGUGUUUGGAAAAGCCGGCUGCUUCCUAUCGGUCUUGGAUAAAAGGCAACCCAGAGCCCGGGUGCAUCCCUAACUCAUGCCCAAGGAAGGUCGUGCGGAGCCAGAGGACCUAGAAUGUAUAGUGCGCCUUCUGGGUUUGUCCACACAAUAGCGCAGGAACACAGCGACCCAAUAUAGUGAGAAGUGGCCGCAGCGCACACCCUGAGACCCUUCACCAGGCGGCCCACCGGGAGCCUGCCUACUCAGCCCCGCUACCACGAUAAGCCUGGAAUGUCAAAUAUUUGUUCUAGGAACCCAGUGAAACCUUGAGGUAAAGCCCCUCCCCUUCUCCCUCCCAUUCCGGAGCGCGCCUGCGUCAGUCCAGGCUUUCCGGUAAGGACACUCCCUUCCAACUAGUUCCUUCUCGCCACCCCUGCAACCCAUCGUCCUGACUAUUUAAACUUCACAAGGUCUUCGCUACAGGCUCAGGUUCAGUGAGGCAGAGUCUUGGCGUCCCUACCCAGUUAUCCCAGAGCUACUGGUAUCGGUUUCUACCCACAGCCUCCGAGCAAGGCUCCCCUUUCAACCUGUAGACCUCGCCUCCCGAUUCUCAGGAGAUCUUGCUGACUGUGGAAUCCCUGGCUGUUCCGAACCCCCUGGAAAGAAGCGUCUGUUCCCAGGUUUCUGCAAGGUAACGAAUCUGAAGAGCCAACAGAAUUGGGCGGCUCCAUUCAUUCGACUCUGGUUCUCUCAACCAGGCAUUCCCCAUAUUAAAACAAUUCCAGAACUUCAAAGUCUUUGGUAUUUUGCUUUAUCACCUUUAUUUGUUUUUGUGUAGGCACGCACAAGGCACAGUGCCAGGGUGGAGGUCCGAGAACAGCUUGUGGGACUUGGUCCUCUCCUUCCACAAAUGGGUCCUGGGCACAGAACUCAAGCAAGCCCU